rnacentral:rRNA from 1 species
GACGGAGGAGGCUAGCGUUGUUCGGAAUUACUGGGCGUAAAGCGCGCGCAGGCGGCUUAGCAAGUCAGGGGUGAAAGCCCGGGGCUCAACCUCGGAACUGCCUUUGAGACUGCUAGGCUCGAGACCGAGAGAGGAGAGUGGAAUUCCCAGUGUAGAGGUGAAAUUCGUAGAUAUUGGGAAGAACACCAGUGGCGAAGGCGGCUCUCUGGCUCGGUACUGACGCUGAGGCGCGAAAGCGUGGGGAGCAAACAGGAUUAGAUACCCCGGUAGU